CAGGCUCACCUGUGCAGGAACAAGCAGGGCUUGUCUAAAGCCAGGGAGCUGGCUGCAGGAAGGAGGCUACUAUUAUGAAAGGCUGUAGGGAUGUAGUCACUUCUUGCAUGGAGGAAGUUGGUAGCUGCUAAACCCAGAGGGAGGGGGGGAUGAGGAAUGCAGGAAGAAGCCCAGGAAAACAGCAAGCAGUAGGAGUGUACAAGGACUGUGGCUCCUUAUUAUGGAGUCCCUGGGCUGGAACCUAGUGUAGAGGGUAGACCUGGGUUCCCCUAGUGGCCACUGGGGAAUGGCAAGGGCAGUGGAGGUGCCAGCCAGCUAACAUUUCUGGAAAGACUGUGAAUUCCCUGGCAGGAGAGGCCUUUAGUAACUGAGCCAGAGGGCCAAGCCAAAAAGAAGCUGCUGCAGAACCUGGAAGCGAGUGGGGCUACAGAGUGAGACAAAAUAGGAAGAAGAAAAUACUACAGAGCGAGUGCAAGCUGGCAGGACUAAUCUCCAGGGUGGCCAGAAGGAGGCGCUGCUUGUGUUUGUCUCAUGCAAAGUGGAGAUGAGGAAGCAGGACAGAUGUUCAGAAAACAGAAUUGCCCUGAACUUUUCAGAUGAGGAGACAAACCUUCAUCAGCACUACAGAGCAACUGUAAGCCAAGCCAGCAUGCAUGUGACAGAAGAAAAAAUGGUGCUUCUCUCCAAGAUGUGACGGUGCUCAUCUAAAAACUGAAAAAAACAAAGUCACGCCACACAAUGUCCAUCCAAAGUUCAAUGGAGAUUAAGGGACUGGUGAAUGGGAAACUGAGGGGAACAAUGUUUAGGAUAAUAAGCAUAUUAGUCAUUGUCCUUCUUCUCUGAGAGCUCAGAGGAGGUGGAUUUGAUUGGCGUUAAAGUUCUUUCCCCACUGGGGAAAUCACAUGCUUAAAUGCUUUGUUGAAUUGGGACUAGAGUGCCUAAUUCUCUCACGGCGAUUAGAUCUUGGUUUGUAAGAGCACACAUUUUGCCAGCACUUAUGGAUCAAAGGUCUGGGGGCCUUAGCCAACAAAUUUUGUUACCAGGUGAAGUAUUAACUAUCGUGAGCAAUUCCAUCAUAAUCAGGAUAACUUAGUCCAGGGUCUUGAGUGGGAUGGACACAAACUGAUAUGCUUAUAUUGUAAAGAGUACUUUCUUGGUCAGAAAAACACAGACUGUUUUUAAGAUCCAAUAGAAGAACCAGGGAAACCGCUAAGAUUAUUAAAAGGGUACAUAAAAUUGGCCAAUAGACAAUAAUGCAAAAUGGAAACAAAAUGAACAGAACUCCUGUCACUGUAUAUAGAAGAUCAUGUUUUUUUGUCUCAGUAUUCAGGUCAGAUAGAAAGCAGAUAGAAGAAAUCAGAACAGGGAUGUGUUGGAGUGUGUUAAGGGAGACUAGAGCAUCUGGAGCACUUUACCUACUUAGUAUGAAGAAGUCAAUCAGCAAGAAGUGUUUUAUUGCAAUAGAGCUCAGACAUGGUCCCUCCAAAAAAAGGGAUCAUUAAGUUGCUACAUCUUGUGUUGCAAGGGUAAACUGUAGUGUACAAAGAAACCAUACCAAUAGAUUAAAAAAAAAAAGUCAAGUACCCAUAGCAGACAAAGAUGAUCAAUACAAAUGAGUUGUAAUGGUCAGGAUGCUGUAUCAAAGAGACAGAUGGGAGUGAUGUGUGGGAGAUGAAAUAAGUGAAAUUACAGGAUCAGCUGGGGUAUAAUCAGAUCUGGAUAAAAAGUAACUGGGCUUAUUUAGAAUAAAGGACAGUUUCUCAUGGUUCAUGACAUUAUUCUGAUCCCAGAUUUAUAUAAAUAUAUAUCUAAAA